UACGGAGGAUGCAAGCGUUAUCCGGAAUGAUUGGGCGUAAAGCGUCCGCAGGUGGCUAUGUAAGUCUGCUGUUAAAGGGUGAGGCUCAACCUCAUAAGAGCAGUGGAAACUACAUGGCUAGAGUGCGUUCGGGGCAGAGGGAAUUCCUGGUGUAGCGGUGAAAUGCGUAGAGAUCAGGAAGAACAUCGGUGGCGAAGGCGCUCUGCUGGACCAUAACUGACACUCAGGGACGAAAGCUAGGGGAGCGAAUGGG
rnacentral:rRNA from 1 species